GAUGAACGCUGGCGGCGUGCUUAACACAUGCAAGUCGAACGAGAAGUGAAGACGGAAACCUUCGGGCGGAAGGCUUUAUUUCGAGUGGCGGACGGGUGAGUAACGCGUGGGUAACCUGCCUCAUACAGGGGGAUAGCAGUUGGAAACGACUGUUAAUACCGCAUAAGACCACAGCACCGCAUGGUGCGGGGGUAAAAACUCCGGUGGUAUGAGAUGGACCCGCGUUCGAUUAGCCAGUUGGCGGGGUAACGGCCCACCAAAGCGACGAUCGAUAGCCGAUCUGAGAGGAUGACCGGCCACAUUGGGACUGAGACACGGCCCAAACUCCUACGGGAGGCAGCAGUGGGGAAUAUUGCACAAUGGGGGAAACCCUGAUGCAGCGACGCCGCGUGAGUGAAGAAGUAUUUCGGUAUGUAAAGCUCUAUCAGCAGGGAAGAAAAUGACGGUACCUGAGUAAGAAGCCCCGGCUAACUACGUG
rnacentral:rRNA from 1 species